rnacentral:rRNA from 1 species
AGCAGCCGCGGUAAUUCCAGCUCCAAUAGCGUAUAUUAAAGUUGUUGCAGUUAAAAAGCUCGUAGUUGAAUUUCGAGACCGGUUUACUGGUCGUGCUUUUGUACGUACUGGUAUUAUUGGUUUCUCCUUUCUGACGAAUCAUAAUGCCAUUAAUUUGGUGUUUUGGGGAAUCAGGACUGUUACUUUGAAAAAAUUAGAGUGUUUAAAGCAGGCUCACGCUUGAAUACAUUAGCAUGGAAUAACGAAAUAGGACGUUUGAUUUUAUUUUGUUGGUUUCUAGGAUCGACGUAAUGAUUAAUAGGGAUAGUUGGGGGCAUUAGUAUUCAAUUGUCAGAGGUGAAAUUCUUGGAUUUAUUGAAGACUAACUACUGCGAAAGCAUUUGCCAAGGAUGUUUUCAUUAAUCAAGAACGAAAGUUAGGGGAUCGAAGACGAUCAGAUACCGUCGUAGUCUUAACCAUAAACUAUGCCGACUAGGGAUCGGAUGAUGUUAAUUUUUUAAUGACUCAUUCGGCGCCUUAC